CCUACGGGCGGCAGCAGUGAGGAAUAUUGGUCAAUGGGCGGGAGCCUGAACCAGCCAAGCCGCGUGAGGGAAGAAGGUACAGCGUAUCGUAAACCUCUUUUGUCAGGGAACAAAGGCGGGGACUAGUCCCCGGAUCAGGGUACCUGAAGAAAAAGCAUCGGCUAACUCCGUGCCAGCAGCCGCGGUAAUACGGAGGAUGCGAGCGUUAUCCGGAUUUAUUGGGUUUAAAGGGUGCGCAGGCGGCCUGUUAAGUCAGCGGGAAAAGCCCGGGGCGCAACCCCGGCGAGCCGUUGAAACUGGCGGGCUGGAGUUGGAGAGAAGUACGCGGAAUGCGUGGUGUAGCGGUGAAAUGCUUAGAUAUCGCGCAGAACCCCGAUUGCGAAGGCAGCGUACCGGCUCCACACUGACGCUGAGGCACGAAAGCGUGGGUAUCGAACAGGAUUAGAUACCCUUGUAGUC
rnacentral:rRNA from 1 species